AACGUAGGGGGCGAGCGUUAUCCGGAUUUACUGGGCGUAAAGCGCACGUAGGCGGCGCCGUAAGUUGGGCGUGAAAGCUCUCGGCUUAACCGGGAGAGGUCGUUCAAAACUGCGGUGCUCGAGGUUGACAGAGGAGAGUGGAAUUCCCGGUGUAGUGGUGGAAUGCGUAGAUAUCGGGAGGACCACCAGUGGCGAAGGCGACUCUCUGGGUCACACCUGACGCUGAGGUGCGAAAGCGUGGGGAGCGAACGGG
rnacentral:rRNA from 1 species